rnacentral:rRNA from 1 species
UACGUAGGGUGCGAGCGUUAAUCGGAAUUACUGGGCGUAAAGCGUGCGCAGGCGGUUCGCCAAGUCAGGUGUGACAUCCCCGGGCUCAACCUGGGACUUGCGGUUGAAACUAGCGAGCUUGAGUGUGGCAGAGGGGGGUGGAAUUCCACGUGUAGCGGUGAAAUGCGUAGAGAUGUGGAGGAACACCGAUGGCGAAGGCAGCGCCCUGGGUCAACACUGACGCUGAGGCACGAAAGCGUGGGGAGCAAACAGG